rnacentral:rRNA from 1 species
UCUAGCAUUAUCAGUAUUAGAGGCACUACUGCCCAGUGACAUGUGUUUAACGGCCGCGGUACCCUGACCGUGCAAAGGUAGCAUAAUCACUUGUUCUCUAAAUAGGGACUUGUAUGAAUGGCCACACGAGGGUUUAACUGUCUCUUACUUCCAAUCAGUGAAAUUGACCUAUCCGUGAAGAGGCGGAUAUAACUAAAUAAGACGAGAAGACCCUAUGGAGCUUUAAUUUAAUAAUACAAACUAACAAUUUAAAAAUCAACAGGUAUUAACCUACUGUACGUGUAUUAUAAACUUUGGUUGGGGUGACCUCGGAGUAUAAUAAAACCUCCGAAAGACACACACUAAGACUUCACCAGUCUAAGUAAACCUACUCCCAUUGACCCAAUAACUUGAUCAACGGACUAAGUUACCCUAGGGAUAACAGCGCAAUCCUAUUUUAGAGUCCAUAUCGACAAUAGGGUUUACGACCUCGAUGUUGGAUCAAGACAUCCCAAUGGUGCAGCAGCUAUUAAGGGUUCGUUUGUUC